rnacentral:lncRNA from 1 species
AUUUGAGGCAGAUCAAUAUUUAAUACUGAACACUAACUUAUGUUCUUAUUUGUUUAGAAUCUCUGCUUUCAAGAGGAGAGUUGGCCCUGAGAUCCAUUUCAAAGGACUUGUGAACAUCCAGUCAAUAGAAAAAUACAUUCAGAAAACACUUACUGAACAUUUAUGAUGUGUCAGACACUGUGUUAGAAACUUGGGAGGCAAAGCUUCUACGUCUAAGAAGCUCAGAGUCAAGUUGGGGGCAGUUUCCUGUGGAACCUGGAAGGAUCAGGAUUCCUGAAAAUUUAAACCAGAACUCAGAUAUUCCAGUAAUUGCUCAUCAAGUGCCCACUAGUAGCUAAGCAUCUGCUACACAACAGCAUACAAAGUCUGGAAGGUCCAAAUUGGAUGUUUACUUGCAGUGAAUAUGUUUUUAAUGGUUUGUUAUAUUCAGAGGAUCAUAACUUCAAAGAUGGUCAUCAAUUAAUUCACAAAGAUAAUGUCAGAAGCAGGAUCCAAAGUGGAGCUUCUAGUGACCCCCAGGAGUGCUGAGUAAACACGCAAGGUACCUGCAGGACCCACUUGUGUCCAUUGAUCUCUCAGAGCAGCUGGGCAUCGUGGGUAAAGACCUUCACAAUCGGGAACCCGUAGAUUGGAUCUUCUGAAAACAUCAGAGAAAGACUAUCUUUGCCAUCCACACUACAGUAAAACUUUGGAGCCUUGAACCUUGGAUUUAUAAUCUCACAACUGAGAAGGGUCCCUCCAUACUCCUGGAACUGUACACCCAUUGGAACUCUUAAGGAUGAUAUACAUGGCCAGGUGAAGACAGUAGAGAGAAAACAGAACUGAAACGUUGGCAAGCUUGGGCUUGAAGUUUUUGGUGACACAAGACUGGCUUCUACUUCAGGAGACCAACUUCUUUUUCACAUAGCUCCAAUUUUCAGAGGAGGUAAGAAUCAGCAGAAAAGAAGGAAUCUUUGGAGAGCCAAAACCAUCUCUACACCAAAUUGAGAGACUGGAAUUAUAAGGUGAAUGCAAUUAACUGGCAGUCGCAUCCAUGUUGAGAACACAGUCAUCCCUUUAAUAGAGAACAUUUGCUGUGCUUGACAAACUCACAGUGAAAUGGUUGGAUCCAUAGGAAGCAACAUGCUGAAAAUGGUUUCAAUAUGAUCCUGUUUUUUCACUCAAUAGCCAUUGAUUGAGGGUGUCCAGCCAAAAACAAUGAGAAAAUGAGCCAACAAUAGUCUUACCCUUUGACCAUAUUAGAUAAAGUCGCAGCUGAAAUUUGUUAUAUGUUUCAGGAAUAACAAAGCAUCCAUAUGGAACAUAUAUUUGGCAGUGUGGCAGCUGAUGAAACCAGGAAAAUUAGACAAAUUAUCAAUUGCUCGCUCCCAAAUUACCCCAAAAAGAAAUUAGAUCCAUUUUCAGUAGCUUUGCCUUCAAAUUUCUUCAUUCCGUGAGUCACCACUACCUUCUGCCAAACUAAAUAUGUCUAUGAACGGCUGGAAACUUUAAUGGAAAGAAACAUAAAACUCAAACUACGUAGGAAAAUUUAAGCUUCUUCAUGGAAGAUCUUCGUGGAAGACUAGCAAGUUAGGAAUGUGUGAAGACAGACAACACAUCGAUAAUUCCUUUUGUUUGGGGUCACUUCUGAGUUAGAGAGCAAUGCAAC